rnacentral:rRNA from 1 species
GACGAACGCUGGCGGCGUGGAUUAGGCAUGCAAGUCGAACGGUAUCAUCCUUUCGGGGGUGAGAGAGUGGCGAACUGGUGAGUAACACGUAGGUUAUCUACCCUCAAGACGGGGACAACCCAGGGAAACUUGGGCUAAUACCGGAUGCGUGCAAACAAUGUUUUGGCUGUUGUAAUUAUUCACGGAAGUGAAUAGUUAUGAGAGUUCAGAGCAUAAUUUGCAUAAAAGGUGGCGUAAGCUGCCGUUUGAGGAUGAGCCUGCGUCCUAUUAGUUAGUUGGUGAGGUAAUGGCUUACCAAGGCGAUGAUAGGUAGGCGGCCUUAACGGGUGGUCGCCCACACUGGGACUGAGACACGGCCCAGACUCCUACGGGGGGGCAGCAGUGGGGGAUCUUGCACAAUGGGCGAAAGCCUGAUGCAGCGACGCCGCGUGAGCGAAGAAGGCCUCGGUUGUAAGUACGUCUGUCUGGAGGGACGGAACAAAAUAGACGGUACCGUCCGGUAGGGAACGACCGACGGCGUAACG